UACGUAGGGUGCAGGCGUUGUCCGGAAUUAUUGGGCGUAAAGAGCUCGUAGGCGGUUUGUCGCGUCUGCUGUGAAAACCCGAGGCUCAACCUCGGGCCUGCAGUGGGUACGGGCAGGCUAGAGUGCGGGAGAGGAGAGUGGAAUUCCUGGUGUAGCGGUGAAAUGCGCAGAUAUCAGGAGGAACACCUGUGGCGAAAGCGGCGCACUGGACCACAACUGACGCUGAGGCGCGAAAGCUAGGGGAGCAAACAGG
rnacentral:rRNA from 1 species